CCUGCCCACUGAAAUUUUUUGAAUGGCCGCAGUAAUUUGACUGUGCAAAGGUAGCAUAAUCAUUAGUUUUUUAAUUAAAAGCUUGUAUGAAGGGUUGGACGAGGUAAAGUCUGUCUUUACUUAAAUAAUUAUAGAAUUUAAUUUUUAAGUUAAAAAGCUUAAAUUUAAAUAAAAGACGAGAAGACCCUAUAGAUCUUUAUAUUAUUUUUUAUAAUUUUAUUUUAGAAUAUUUUAUUUUUUAUAAAAAAAAAUAUUUAAUUGGGGUAAUUAAAAGAUUUAAUUAAUUCUUUUUAUAUAUUUUCAUUAAUUUAUGAAUUUGUGAUCCAAUAAUUUUGAUUAUAAGAUUAAGUUACCUUAGGGAUAACAGCGUAAUUUUUUUUGAGAGUUCAUAUCGAUAAAAAAGUUUGCGACCUCGAUGUUGGAUUAAAAAUUAUUUUAGGCGUAGAAGUUUAAAAAUUUGGUCUGUUCGACCAUUGAAUUUUUACAUGAUCUGAGUUCAGACCGGUGUAAACCAGGUCGGUUUCUAUCUUUAUUUAUUUAUAAUAUUUUAGUACGAAAGGACCAAAUAUUAAAUAUAUUUAUAUUUAUAAUUUUGAAUAUUAUUAA
rnacentral:rRNA from 1 species